AUUGAACGCUGGCGGCAUGCUUUACACAUGCAAGUCGAACGGCAGCGCGGGCUUCGGCCUGGCGGCGAGUGGCGAACGGGUGAGUAAUGCAUCGGAACGUGCCCAGUCGUGGGGGAUAGCCCGGCGAAAGCCGGAUUAAUACCGCAUACGACCUGAGGGUGAACGCGGGGGACCGAAAGGCCUCGCGCUAUUUGAGCGGCCGAUGUCGGAUUAGCUAGUUGGUGGGGUAAAGGCUUACCAAGGCGACGAUCCGUAGCUGGUCUGAGAGGACGACCAGCCACACUGGGACUGAGACACGGCCCAGACUCCUACGGGAGGCAGCAGUGGGGAAUUUUGGACAAUGGGGGCAACCCUGAUCCAGCCAUGCCGCGUGCGGGAAGAAGGCCUUCGGGUUGUAAACCGCUUUUGUUCGGGAAGAAAUCCUGUGGGCUAAUACCCCGGGGGGAUGACGGUACCGGAAGAAUAAGCACCGGCUAACUACGUG
rnacentral:rRNA from 1 species